rnacentral:rRNA from 1 species
CUACGGGUUGCUGCAGUGGGGAAUAUUGCACAAUGGGGGAAACCCUGAUGCAGCAACGCCGCGUGGAGGAUGACACAUUUCGGUGCGUAAACUCCUUUUAUAUGAGAAGAUAAUGACGGUAUCAUAUGAAUAAGCUCCGGCUAACUCCGUGCCAGCAGCCGCGGUAAUACGGGGGGAGCAAGCGUUACUCGGAAUUACUGGGAGUAAAGCGCAUGUAGGCGGAUAGAAAAGUCAGAAGUGAAAUCCUAUAGCUUAACUAUAGAACUGCUUCUGAAACUCUCUAUCUAGAAUGUGGGAGAGGUAGAUGGAAUUUCUGGUGUAGGGGUAAAAUCCGUAGAGAUCAGAAGGAAUACCGAUUGCGAAGGCGAUCUACUGGAACAAUAUUGACGCCGAGAUGCGAAAGCGUGGGGAGCAAACAGGAUUAGAUACCCUAGUAGUC